rnacentral:rRNA from 1 species
CUUGGUCAUUUAGAGGAAGUAAAAGUCGUAACAAGGUUUCCGUAGGUGAACCUGCGGAAGGAUCAUUCAUAAUAAGUGUUUUAUGGCACUUUUUAAAUCCAUAUCCACCUUGUGUGCAAUGUCAGUCGAUCUUCUUCAUGGAGAUCGACCAAACAUCAACCUUUAUUUUUUAACUCUUUGUCUGAAAAAUAUUAUGAAUAAACAAUUCAAAAUACAACUUUCAACAACGGAUCUCUUGGCUCUCGCAUCGAUGAAGAACGCAGCGAAAUGCGAUACGUAAUGUGAAUUGCAGAAUUCAGUGAAUCAUCGAAUCUUUGAACGCAUAUUGCGCUCUUUGGUAUUCCGAAGAGCAUGCUUGUUUGAGUAUCAGUAAACACCUCAAAGCUUUUGGAUUUUUUAAUCGAAAAGCUUCGGACUUGAGCAAUCCCAACACCAAUCUUUUUGAGAUCGGUGGCGGGUUGCUUGAAAUGCAGGUGCAGCUGGACAUUCUCCUGAGCUAAAAGCAUAUUCAUUUAGUCCCGUCAAACGGAUUAUUACUUUUGCUGCAGCUAACAUAAAGGGAGUUUGACCGUAUUGGCUGACUGAUGCAGGAUUUCACAAGGGUCGGCAACGAUUCUUGUUAAACUCGAUCUCAAAUCAAGUAAGACUACCCGCUGAACUUAAGCAUAUCAAUAAGCGGAGGA